AUUCGUAUGCUAUUGUGAACAGUAUCUAUUUAAAUGAAUUAUAGUUCAUAUUGACACUUUCUUUGUGCGAGCAUGAGCUGUUUAAUUUUUAUACAGUCAUUUCACUUUUCUUUUUCAAUUUUGGCAAUUUUUCUAAGUUUUCAACUCAAAUUAAUUGAACAGUGCGUGUGUUUAAUUAUUAUUAAAUUUUUUAAAGUUUAAUUAUUAUUCUCAUUGAACUUAUAUCGGCAACAUCUGAUUUCCCUUCUUCCAGCUUAAUCCGUGUUUGUUAACUGCCGAUUGUGCCUUCUUAGUCGAGUUAUCGGGCCGAUUCCCAUUCACCGGAAUAAUGAGACAGGGGAGAAAAGCAGUAUCUGAAGUGUACAGCACACACAGGGCGAUUGCGAGUCAGCAAUAUGUGUAGAUCGAUCAUGAGGGAAAUGGGCCGUAAGAACCAUGACUUCGGAAGUUACGGACCACAAUAUGAUUACAUCGAGUGGAAGGAACUAACGUCGUCGUUUGAAGAGCCGCUGGACAAGGGGCUCAGGGUCUAAUAUAAAAGUAACCAAGAUUAGUAGCAGAAACGUAGUAGGGCAGAUGUUUGUGAACAGCGGAAAAAGCCGUUUCAGGUUCAUCGGUAGGGUAAAGAAAAGAGAUUCAUUUGGAAGAUUGAUAAUGGACGAGAUUCUCCUCCACAUUGAAAAUCUGGCCUACUGCCUCUUUUGUACUUUCUCCUAAAGACGAACAACUGGUUUCUUCCUUUGUUUUCGUGUUAAAUCCACCUCUGCACAAUGGAGUUUAUGUUUGAUACGCAUUUCAUUUUCUCUUCUUCUUCAGAAACUGACGGGGAAUGAACAUAUAUAGAACUAAAGAAGAGUAGGUUUGUAUGCUUUGGAACAUCUUUUAACAAGGCAUGCCAUUCCGCUACAUAAUAAGCGACUAAUAUAUAUAAUGCUCACUCCCCAGAUAUAGCAGUAAGGUUGCACAGUGUGGUCUUCGACUCCCGAUUCCCCAAUAAAGAAGGUUCAAAAUCGAAUACUAAGGCAAUGGAGUGCAGCGCCCUGAAUUAUGGACCACCAGACACUUCUUUCCAACGAAAAUCCGCUAAUACAGCUACAACUUCCAAUCUAUUGUCACGUGAAAUAAGUGUGUUAUGCUUUUGUUAUGAGUGAUUAUUAUUGGUAUUAAGUUUAUUUUUCUUUUGUUUUCGCAACAGCUGAUGUCAUUAACCCUCGGGGUGCCGAUGUUUUCGAAAAAACCCAUUUUUAAGUAUGUCGGAUGCGAUUCCUGCGGCAGUGCACUCGAACCAGGGACCUUUACUUACAGUGAUGAGCACCGUGACAACGCCUAAACUAAUGCGGCCACCAACGCCCCUACUGUUAUAUAAGAUACUAUAUGUUA